UACGUAGGGUGCUAGCGUUGUCCGGAUUUAUUGGGCGUAAAGGGCGCGUAGGCGGAUGGCUUUGUCGGGCGUGAAAUUCCAGGGCUUAACCUUGGGGCUGCGUUCGAGACGGGUUGUCUUGAGUGGGGAAGAGGGUCGUGGAAUUCCCAGUGUAGAGGUGAAAUUCGUAGAUAUUGGGAAGAACACCGGUGGCGAAGGCGGCGACCUGGUCCUUGACUGACGCUGAGGCGCGAAAGCGUGGGGAGCAAACAGG
rnacentral:rRNA from 1 species